rnacentral:rRNA from 1 species
UCUUCCGCAAUGGGCGAAAGCCUGACGGAGCAACGCCGCGUGAGUGAAGAAGGUCUUCGGAUCGUAAAGCUCUGUUGCCAAGGAAGAACGGCGAAGAGAGUCACUGCUCUUCGUAUGACGGUACUUGAGAAGAAAGCCCCGGCUAACUACGUGCCAGCAGCCGCGGUAACACGUAGGGGCCAAGCGUUGUCCGGAGUUACUGGGCGUAAAGCGCGCGCAGGCGGUCGCGUGGGCCCGGCGUGAAAGCCCCCGGUUCAACCGGGGAGGGUCGUCGGGGACCGCGCGACUUGAGGGCGGUAGGGGCCGGUGGAACUCCCGGUGUAGUGGUGAAAUGCGUAGAGAUCGGGAAGAACACCCGUGGCGAAGGCGGCCGGCUGGGCCGACCCUGACGCUGAGGCGCGAAGGCGUGGGGAGCGAAC